AGAAUCAGGUGGUGAAGCCUUGCAAUGAGCAGCAAAAUUAUAAGAAGACUGAAUGUUUGGUAAAUAGAUGCUGUUUUUCAUCCUCCAAGAUCAGUAACGUCAACUGUUUCGUCCCACUACAGGAUAAGCCUACACAGAUGUUCCGGAUGUUUGUGCUUGGUGUGAUCAUCACGAUCAUCCUGGGAUGUCUGCCCAUUUGUUGGUCCUCUUUUUGGCGGAGGAGCAAAUGGGCCAAUCCUUUACGAAAGAGAGUCAACAGAAUUGUAAAGAAUAUGAAGAAACACAGAAAGAAAGAAAAGAAGGAUGCUGAGACGAUAGAGAAAACAGCAGAAGAUGAGGAAAAAUCAGUUAGUGAAAACCAGUAAGAGAACAAAGUGUUAUUUUCCCACUGAGAAAAAUACAAGCCAUUCAGAGCAGAAGACCCUGUCCCAGUCAUCCAAACCUGUUGGAACAUUUCAGGACAAAAAUUCGUUCUUAUUUUUGUCGUGUUUACUUCCAAAUAUAAAAAUAAAGUUCUGUUUUUGUGCAUCAAA